rnacentral:rRNA from 1 species
UACGUAGGGUGCAAGCGUUGUCCGGAAUUAUUGGGCGUAAAGAGCUCGUAGGCGGUCUGUCGCGUCGGCUGUGAAAACCUGGGGCUCAACUCCGGGCCUGCAGCCGAUACGGGCAGACUAGAAUUCGGUAGGGGAGACUGGAAUUCCUGGUGAGCGGUGAAAUGCGCAGAUAUCAGGAGGAACACCGGUGGCGAAGGCGGGUCUCUGGGCCGUAACUGACGCUGAGGAGCGAAAGCGUGGGGAGCGAACAGG